rnacentral:rRNA from 1 species
GGGGAAUAUUGCACAAUGGGCGCAAGCCUGAUGCAGCAACGCCGCGUGCGGGAUGACGGCCUUCGGGUUGUAAACCGCUCUCAGCAGGGACGAAGCUUUUUGUGACGGUACCUGCAGAAGAAGCACCGGCUAACUACGUGCCAGCAGCCGCGGUGAUACGUAGGGUGCGAGCGUUGUCCGGAUUUAUUGGGCGUAAAGGGCUCGUAGGCGGUUGAUCGCGUCGGAAGUGGAAACUUGAUGCUUAACGUUGAGCGUGCUUUCGAUACGGGUUGACUUGAGGAAGGUAGGGGAGAAUGGAAUUCCUGGUGGAGCGGUGGAAUGCGCAGAUAUCAGGAGGAACACCAGUGGCGAAGGCGGUUCUCUGGACCUUUCCUGACGCUGAGGAGCGAAAGCGUGGGGAGCGAACAGGCUUAGAUACCCUGGUAGUCCACGCUGUAAACGGUGGGUACUAGGUGUGGGGUCCAUUCCACGGAUUCUGUGCCGUAGCUAACGCAUUAAGUACCCCGCCUGGGGAGUACGGCCGCAAGGCUA